AGGGAAUCUUCGGCAAUGGACGGAAGUCUGACCGAGCAACGCCGCGUGAGUGAAGAAGGUUUUCGGAUCGUAAAGCUCUGUUGUAAGAGAAGAACGAGUGUGAGAGUGGAAAGUUCACACUGUGACGGUAUCUUACCAGAAAGGGACGGCUAACUACGUGCCAGCAGCCGCGGUAAUACGUAGGUCCCGAGCGUUAUCCGGAUUUAUUGGGCGUAAAGCGAGCGCAGGCGGUUAGAUAAGUCUGAAGUUAAAGGCUGUGGCUUAACCAUAGUACGCUUUGGAAACUGUUUAACUUGAGUGCAAGAGGGGAGAGUGGAAUUCCAUGUGUAGCGGUGAAAUGCGUAGAUAUAUGGAGGAACACCGGUGGCGAAAGCGGCUCUCUGGCUUGUAACUGACGCUGAGGCUCGAAAGCGUGGGGAGCAAACAGGAUUAGAUACCCUGGUAGUCCACGCCGUAAACGAUGAGUGCUAGGUGUUAGACCCUUUCCGGGGUUUAGUGCCGUAGCUAACGCAUUAAGCACUCCGCCUGGGGAGUACGACCGCAAGGUUG
rnacentral:rRNA from 1 species